CCACACUCCCAGGAAGGGGAGCUGAGUCCCAGAGAGGUCUCCUCCCUGGCCAGGUCUCUCCAGCCCAGCCAGGAGGGACAAAGUCGAACUUUUAAGUCCUGCCCACUGGUGUGCCCUUGGGGAAACUGAGGCCUGGAGAAGGGAGGCCACUUGUCCAGGGCACCUCCCUAGUACCAGAGCCAGGAUGGAAAUGCGGGUGGCCCAGCUCCAGGGCUGGGCCACUCUCUCUCUCUAACAAGAAACAGCUAAUUUCUGGGGGGGUUUGUUUGUUUGAGACAAGGUCUCACUCUUGCCCAGGCUGGAGUGCAGCGGUGCACCUGGCUCAUUGCAGCCUUGACCUUCUGGGCUCAAGCAAAUCUCCUUCCUCAGCCUCCCGAGUAGCUGGGACCACAGGUGUGCACCACCACGCCCAGUUUAUUGUUUUAUUUUUUGUAGAGAUGGAGUCUCACUAUGUUGGUUGGCCAGGCUGGUCUUGAGCUCCUGGCCUCAAGUGAUCCACCUGCCUCGGCCUCCCACAGUGCUGGGAUUACAGGUGUGAG
rnacentral:lncRNA from 1 species